UUAACUCAAAUUUGUAUGGAAUCGGAACGUUUGCCUACGUUUGCCGCUAGGGGCGCUGUUCCAACUGCAUACAAAAUUGGGUUA
rfam:Bombyx mori DNA, contig: Bm_scaf30_contig18869, strain: p50T/Dazao, build 2, whole genome shotgun sequence.